GACCGCCGGUGAUCCUUGUGACUGCUGAGCUUCCCUUUGUCAUCCUAUGCCUGGAAGUCAAAAUGGGGCAGGGACAGCAAAGGGAUGAUCAACCGUCACCUCCAACACCGAGAUGUGUC